GGACUAAUAGCGAAAAUGGUAUCGCAUCCACUCCUGCUGGGACGAAUGCGUGGGUUUCUGUGGAAGUUCCUCGUUCGAAUCGAGGUUGGGUCA